rnacentral:rRNA from 1 species
AUGGCUCAGGAUGAACGCUAGCGACAGGCCUAACACAUGCAAGUCGAGCGGCAGCACCUCGGGUGGCGAGCGGCGCACGGGUGAGUAACGCGUAUGUAACCUGCCCAUGAGUGGGGGGAUAGCCCGGUGAAAACCGGAUUAAUACCCCAUGACACCAUUGUCUGACAUCAUUUAAUGGUUAAAGAUUGAUUGCUCAUGGAUGGACAUGCGUUGGAUUAGCUAGUCGGCGGGGCAACGGCCCACCGAGGCUACGAUCCAUAGGGGUUCUGAGAGGAAGGUCCCCCACAUUGGUACUGAGACACGGACCAAACUCCUACGGGAGGCAGCAGUGAGGAAUAUUGGUCAAUGGGCGGAAGCCUGAACCAGCCAAGUCGCGUGAAGGAUGAAGGUAUUAUGUAUUGUAAACUUCUUUAGCUGUGGAGAAAUAAGGGGCUCGUGAGCCCUGAUGCUAGUACACAGAGAAUAAGGAUCGGCUAACUCCGUGCCAGCAGCCGC